rnacentral:rRNA from 1 species
UUUAACUGAGCGUUCAGUUACUUGACGUAGACCCGAAACCGGGCGACCUACCCAUGAGCAGGAUGAAGCGAAAGUAAAAUUUCGUGGAGGUCCGAACCCACGAGCGUUGAAAAGCUCGGGGAUGACUUGUGGGUAGCGGUGAAAUUCCAAUCGAGCCCGGAGAUAGCUGGUUCUCCCCGAAAUAGCUUUAGGGCUAGCCUCAAGGUGAGAGAUACGGAGGUAGAGCACUGAAUGUCCUAGGGGGUAUUGCACCUACCGAAGACUAUCAAACUCCGAAUGCCGUCAUCUUAUACUUGGGAGUCAGACUGUGGGUGAUAAGAUUCAUAGUCGAAAGGGCAACAGCCCAGAUCGUCAGCUAAGGUCCCUAAAUGUAAGUUAAGUGGUAAAGGAUGUGGGAUUGCACAGACAACCAGGAUGUUGGCUUAGAAGCAGCCACUCAUUCAAAGAGUGCGUAAUAGCUCACUGGUCGAGUGAUCCUGCGCCGAAGAUUUCCGGGGCUAAAACUUACUACCGAAGCUACGGCAUCAGUAAUGAUGGGUAGGGGAGCUUCCCAUACGGGUUGAAGCAUGACCGUAAGGACAUGUGGACAGUAUGGGAGUGAGAAUGUUGGCAUGAGUAGCGAGAUGUGGGUGAGAAUCCCACAGGCCGUAAACCCAAGGUUUCCAGGGGAAGGUUCGUCCGCCCUGGGUUAGUCGGGACCUAAGCUGAGGCCGAAAGGCGUAGGUGAUGGACAACAGGUUGAUAUUCCUGUACUACCGAUAACCGUUUGAGAGAAGGGAUGACACAGUAGGAUAAGCUAAG